rnacentral:rRNA from 1 species
UAUUGGUCAAUGGACGAGAGUCUGAACCAGCCAAGUAGCGUGAAGGAUGACUGCCCUAUGGGUUGUAAACUUCUUUUAUAUGGGAAUAAAGUUUGGUAUGUAUACCAUUUUGUAUGUACCAUAUGAAUAAGGAUCGGCUAACUCCGUGCCAGCAGCCGCGGUAAUACGGAGGAGCCGAGCGUUAUCCGGAUUUAUUGGGUUUAAAGGGUGCGUAGGCGGGCUUUUAAGUCAGCGGUAAAAAUUCGGGGCUCAACCCCGUCCGGCCGUUGAAACUGGGGGCCUUGAGUGGGCGAGAAGAAGGCGGAAUGCGUGGUGUAGCGGUGAAAUGCAUAGAUAUCACGAAGAACUCCGAUUGCGAAGGCAGCCCACUAGACUGCAACUGACACUGAUGCUCGAAAGUGUGGGUAUCAAAC